rnacentral:tRNA from 1 species
UUAACUGUAGGAUAAAAUAGUCCGUUGGUUUGUGGUACCAAGUGUCACGUGUGUAGUUAGC